rnacentral:rRNA from 1 species
UACGGAGGAUGUGAGCGUUAUCCGGAUUUAUUGGGUUUAAAGGGUGCGUAGGCGGGCUUUUAAGUCAGCGGUAAAAAUUCGGGGCUCAACCCCGUCCGGCCGUUGAAACUGGGGGUCUUGAGUGGGCGAGAAGAAGGCGGAAUGCGUGGUGUAGCGGUGAAAUGCAUAGAUAUCACGCAGAACCCCGAUUGCGAAGGCAGCCUUCCGGCGCCCUACUGACGCUGAGGCACGAAAGUGCGGGGAUCGAACAGG